rnacentral:rRNA from 1 species
UACAGAGGUCUCAAGCGUUGUUCGGAUUCAUUGGGCGUAAAGGGUGCGUAGGCGGCGCGGUAAGUCGGGUGUGAAAUCUCGGAGCUUAACUCCGAAACUGCAUUCGAUACUGCCGUGCUUGAGGACUGGAGAGGAGACUGGAAUUUACGGUGUAGCGGUGAAAUGCGUAGAGAUCAGGAGGAACACCAAUUGCGAAGGCAGCUCGCUGGGACGUGACUGACGCUGAGACGCGAAAGCGUGGGGAGCAAACAGG